rnacentral:tRNA from 1 species
UGUGGCUCAGUGGCAGAGCGCUUGCCUGGCACGUGUGAGGCCCUGGGUUCGAUUCUCAGCA